rnacentral:sRNA from 1 species
GUGACGGGCACCCUCUACCGGGGAUGACACAUUCCCAGAGCUCCUGGGACCAAGAAAAUGGUGGGCACAAUUCCCUGGGCGGAAGGGGACUUCGGGAGACAGUAGCCAAGAUGGCCCCAGCGCACCCCUGGAGGCUCCUGAGCCUCGGAAGCCGGUGACAGCCCAGGAGCGCCAGCGGGAGCGGGAGGAGAAGCGGCGGAGGCGGCAAGAACGAGCCAAGGAGCGGGAGAAACGGCGGCAGGAGCGGGAACGAAAGGAACGGGGGGCUGGGGCCUCUGGGGGCCCCUCCACUGACCCCUUGGCUGGACUAGUGCUCAGUGACAAUGACAGAAGCCUGUUGGAACGCUGGACUCGAAUGGCCCGGCCCCCAGCCCCAGCCCCCACCUCUGUGCCGGCCCCUGCCCCAGUGCCAACGCCA